rnacentral:lncRNA from 1 species
CAUUCAAAGGUUUCAGCUUCAUGACCGGAGUUUACUAUAUAUUCACCCAUAUCGUAAACAUCUCUUGGCUUAAGGUGAACUGGAAUACACCACCCUUUGUCUUUCAUAUCAUCAACAAAGUACACUAUUUUAACACUACUUGCAUUAAUGUAUGGCUCAUCAUCAGCGUGUAUAACUGUGUGUAUAAGAGGUUGUGUGAAGUUGACUAGGAUGAAUCCUAGGUCAUCUUUCUUCAUCCCUACAUUGGUUGGUGUAAUAGCACAUUGACAUUUGAAUAAUGUGACAAAUCUACCACUGUAAUUUAACUCCAUGAUAUCAGACAAUUUUCCAUAGUAUGACACUGAUCCUUGAACCAGACGGUUGUCUGAAGUGCUUGCAAAACUUUGAGUGCCCAUAUCAGCGAAAACUCCACUAUUUUGUGUUGUCAUCAUCUUUUCACGGUCAAGUGUGCGAAAUCUAAACUCAUUCACGUCGAAUGCGGUAUAUCUCAUAGCUUCAAUUAACGAUCCUUGAGCAAGCAAUUGUAGAUCAUUGGAAUAACUAGUAACUUCAUCAAAUAUGAUCUGAAAUAACUCUACUUUGUUAGACUGUAGUGAUACAAAUACAAACAUUGUUAUAUUGGAGUGUGUAUUUAACAUGCAUACCGCCUAUGAAACCAAUCCAUAAAUUCUCGAUGAAGCAAUUCUCAACUUCAUUAUGAGUUAUUCGCCUACUACCUCUAGGCCGUCUCUUGAUCUGAAGUCUGCACUUUCUACUUGUCACAGAAAGAGCAAUUAGUACAACUAUUUUGAUAGUAAACUUGAGUAAAAAGUAUUGAGCAGCUAAUUUACUCGAUAAAUGGUUCUACUCAUUCAAUAUUGAAUAAGACAUAACUAUAAAAAUCUUAUCAAGGAAAAACUAAUGAAAAGGGAAAAGAAAGAUGCAAGUUUGAAAGAGAAUUCAAAAAAUUAAAAUAAAAAAAUAAAGAAAAUAAAUAUUUUAAAGAUGAUUGGUUGAAAAGAAAAAAUCAUAAAGAAAAUUUUAUUUUUUAAAAUGUUGAUGUGACUGAAUUUUAAAUUUGGACAUAAUUAAGGUUGAUAAAAAAAUAUGAAGCCUAAGUCAAAUUCUGCCCAUUUCAGCAAGGGGGUUUCUCAGUCUCAGACUUUUGGGUGUAAGCUUUUCGCUGGGUUUUGCUGUUUCUUGCCAGUUCUAGUGUGUUGCUGUUAGUAACUAGUAAUCUAUCUGGGUUCGAAACACUGUUUGCACUGAGAUUGCAGUUUGCACUCUAAAGUUGAGUUCAUGUGUAAGUUGUCCAAAGUUUACAUUUUGUAAAUUGUAAAGUUCAAUUUUGGUUUGGUUUGAAAGAUGGGAUGUAAGAUGAAAUCAUAAAUAUUUUUUUAUUUUAUUAAAAAAUUUUAAUUCCAACGAAAUAAUUUUUGAAAACUAACUAACUUUUUCAUUCCAUGUAAAUUCCAUCUUACGUAAUUCCAUCUAUCAAAACAAAUUUUAUAACUUUUAAAACUUGUACAAGUUUCAAUAUGUGACCGAUAUAUAGUAAGUUGUAUAUUUACCCAAACUAAACCAACCCAUAACCAAACAGAUGUAAUAUUUUAACUGGAUGGUAAGUUUUGUAUUUAAUAAUGAAGCAGACAUAGGUUGUUUUGCAAACCGAAAGGCAGAUAUGAGUAUACUUGAAAAGCGUGAUAUUGGACAAAACUCAAGUACAGGCCCACCUCCCUUGGAUCGAGUAUGAAAUGAAAUUAAUGUUCCAAAUCUAAGAGAAAUUUAUUUAUGGUUGAUGGGUUGGAGCAUAUAUUCAACUACAAAUUGAUAUGAUUAGUGUAGAGAAUUAGAGUGAGGAAAAAGGAGAGAUGGAGAUAGACAUGUCAAAGGGCUCAACUCAACUAGCAUAAUGCGUUUGGUUUGUGAUAUAUAUUCGAACAAGUAUUUGAGUAGUUGUCGGAAAUCAUGACCGGUACCAGAUUUUGAACCCUCUAGAUAGAUACUGUAGUCAAUGCGCUGGGCUACUGAUACUAAAUAUGGUUUUGAGAUAACUGAAAAACGGAUGAAUCAAUCAUGUAAAUAUGUGGUAUUGGACAACACUGUUGAAGCAACAUCUCUUCAUCAUAGUUCCCCAAAAGUUGCUAUAAUUUGCUUCGGCGCAAAACAAGUGAUGAAGUGAGAAUUUAAAGAUCAAUGUGUGCAUUUACCGACAAUGAUAUUUACUUCCCAUCAUUACAGCCUUUGAUUUUGCUUCCUGUCCAUUCUUGUUAAUCUUAAUUUAGUGAAGAACAUGAUGAGCUGAGAUCAUUAAUCCUUAAUUUAGUGAAAGGGUUUGAUGUUAUUAUCAACAGAUGUCGUAGAUGAUUAGAGAAAUUUACAAGUAGGGAAUAUAAUAAUGGCUUAGAUAUGUGUCGAAACCUCCCCCAUAACAUAAUAAUCUUGGUCCAUGUGUCUUUUCUCCUCCCCCAUAAUUUACUCUAGUCCUUGGUUCUAUAAAUACUAACCCCAUUCAUUUGGCCAAAUUCCAGCAGCUAGCUAGCAACCCCACUCAACUACUUGUAAUUUUUACAUUUGAUUAUAUUUGCCGAGCUCCCAUCAUGGCUGGGGAAAAUAUUGCAGUUGUAAUUCCUACCUCCGGCAACACCAUGAAGCUUGAGAAAUUGCUUUGCAUGAAAGGUGGCCAGGGUGACUCCAGCUAUGCCAACAACUCCAAAGCUCAGGUUCCAUUUCAUUUCUUCAUACAUAACCUCCACUAUUGAAUAUACUAUGAGGUUUUGGGUCCCCCGUUUUAUGUCUCGAAAUUUUUGAGCCAAUUCCGUUGGAUACUUUUUCCGGAGCUUCCAAUUCCAUCCGUAGAUUCAUUUGUAGAGAUAUUGAGGUAUCGUUUUUAGCUCAAAGUAAAUCCACUAGAAUUCAAAUUCAAAGGAAAAUCUGUUGGAUUUUACAUUUUACGAAUUUGGACCACGCCAAAUAGAAUUUGAAGGCUAGAAUUAAACUCCCCAAAUCCAAGAGAAUUGAGGAUGUUGCUUUAUGGUCGUGGAAAAUGUAUUGGCUAGAAUUGAUUAUUGACCCCAAGUCCGGCUAAUUUCACCUAAAAUCUAUAGUGAAAACGAUAUAUUCAUUAUGUAAGAGAAUAGUAUGAGAUCCAUCAAUAAUCAUCUCUCAAUAACUCGAAUUUUUGGAAUGUAACGGUUUAUGACACGUUAGAACUUUAAUUUCUAGUAAAAAAUACCUGAAUUUACAAAUUCGGAUGUCAUGAUUCUGACCGGAAUCGGAGGUUGAGGUACGCUUACUAAUCAAGCAAUUAAUGAUUGUAAUUAAUUUAUGGGCAUUGCAGGCGUUGCAUGCAAGAUCAGUAGCACACAUUCUGGAGGAAACCCUGGACAAGAUCCAGCUCCAACCUCCUCCACACAACUCCAAAUUAUUCCGGGUGGUGGAUUUGGGAUGUUCUUCAGGAAGCAACACCAUCUCCACCGUCGAGUCCAUCUUGAAACACAUGCUCAAGCGGUUUCAGGCUGCCGGGUUGGACUUGCCGGAGUUCGCCGCUUUUUUCUCCGACCUCCCGAGCAACGACUUCAACACUCUGUUCAAACUGCUCCCGACCACAAACGAAGACGAGGGAUGCGGUGUUGAGUAUUUCGCGGCGGGAGUUCCGGGGUCGUUUCACAAGCGGCUUUUCCCGACAAACUCCGUUGAUUUCUUUCACUCAGCUUUCUCCCUUCACUGGCUCUCUCAGGUAAUUUGUCGUCUAUUUUGACGUACGGCUUAAUUAAUUGUCUGAUCAUAUCCAUAUGUCCUGUUACCUUGUCUAGAGUUUUAUCUGUCGCUACGUUGGAACUGGAAGUCAUAUUAAUUUUGUUGGAGUGUACUUGAAGCUUUUAUGCAUAUUAAUAUCAAAUUUAAUUAAUAUGGAUCAUUAAUUUCAAUUAUAAUUUGUUUUGUCACAUUCCCUAGGAGGAUUCUGAUGAGUUUAAUUCUGAUAGCUGUCACUUGACUCACCAAUUUUAAUGUUGUUUUGUUUUUUUUGUAUUGGAUUCGAAGCUACAAGCAUACACUUAUGUAUUGUUUUGUUUUUUUUAUCUUGCAUUUCUAUCUCAUCUGUUUACAAAUCUAUUUCAUUUGAUCAAUGAGUAGUUCAGUGAUGGAGAAUUGGUUUAGUGAGUGUCUCUUCCGAGCCUCCUUGUAGUGCACGAAUGUUUCCUACAAGGUGUGUAGGGACGUUAAUAUAGUGGGUUAUAAGAGGGGCUAAACGAGUGAUAUAAGUAAAGAAAGAGAGAGACAGCAAAGUAUCAGACAAUUGACGUUUAUGGAGCGACAAAACAUAUGGACGUUAAACUAUUUGGAGUUUGAAUGAGGGCCGGAUCCUUACCUUUAAUUAGGCCGGCAUUUUGUCAAACUUAUAAGUUGAAUUACCAUGAUUGUCACAAACUUUGAAACUUUAUUUGGUUUACCCUUAAUUUGUCUUUAAUUAGUUUCAAAACAGGGGAGCUUUGGGGACUACAAAAUCAAAAGCAACAUGAUCAUUUGGACCCAUGCAAUUUGUAUUCAAAGACUUGGACGUACAUAAUUACCAAACCCAUAAGUAUUAAUUAAUUAAAUAAUUUGUUAUAAUUCAUUGAUUAAUUAUUUGCCUAAUGAUCAUGCAUGCAUGGGAACUGAAUUAAGCAGCAGUUUAAUUACUGAUUAAUUGAUUGGAAAAACAUUGAUGGAUGCAGGUGCCAGAGGCAGUGAUGGAGAAGAGAUCAAGCGCAUACAACAGAGGGAAAGUGUUCAUCCAUGGAGCUAAGGAGUCGACUGUUUCUGCAUACAAACAUCAAUUCCAGACUGACUUGGGAGCUUUCCUCAAAGCUAGAUCUCUCGAGUUGACCACUGGUGGGACCAUGUUCGUCGUCUGCUUGGGCCGGACCUCGCCCGACCCAACCGACCAAGGUGGUGCCGGGCUCCUGUUCGGGACCCACUUUCAGGAUGCAUGGAACGAACUUGUCCACAAGGUGGGUAUUAUUAUUGAAACAAAGAAAAAAAGAAAUUAUUCAACAAGUUCGAUCCACUUGGUCAUCAAAUUAUGGAGAACGAUUCACAAACAUAAACUAAAAAUGACCCGACAGUAAAUUAUUUGAUGGAAGUUAUUAUGGAAUAUUGUCCCCUUGUUAUCGAGAGACUAGGAAUUGGUCGGGGGGGCUUAUAUGUCUUUUUGCAUGCCAAAAAUGCAUGGUGGUUGUUGGCAUUAUGAUCAACUGUCAGCGUGCUGGGUGGGACGCCUACAGCGUUAUCCAUUCAUAUAAAACGACAAUGGAUCAUUAGAUGCGUCAAUUUUUUUUUAUUUCAACGCAGAAAAUGUUUAUAUCCCAAAUAGAAUAUUUAUAGAUGGUAAUAUUUUUGUAUUUACGAGACACUAUUUAUUCAAUACUGAAAUUAGGAGUGAGCGAAUUUAAACCAUAAACUAUAAUCGUUAUGAAAAUUAUAGUAGUUUAGUUUAAAAGUGAUAAAAUUUUGCGUAAAAUUGUCAAAAUCAAAAUUUUUGCCUAGUGUGUGUUUUUUUUUAAUUUUGGUUUAGUAUAAAUUUCAAAUUUAAUGUAAAUUUGAAUUUUUGCCAAUGGUUUAUGACCAUUUUGGUUCUACUAUUAUCUUUUUAUCACAUUUUAUCAUAGUAUAUUUUUAAAUUUAAUAGUUUGAAGGUUUUUUUUUAAUGGUUAGAGUUGAAAAGAAUAUAAUUUUAUGGGCUGAGAGUUUAAUUUUUAGGAUUUCAUAUUAAAAAUAAAUAAAUUUAUUUCCAAAUGUUACANNNNNNNNNNNNNNNNNNNNNNNNNNNNNNNNNNNNNNNNNNNNNNNNNNNNNNNNNNNNNNNNNNNNNNNNNNNNNNNNNNNNNNNNNNNNNNNNNNNNNNNNNNNNNNNNNNNNNNNNNNNNNNNNNNNNNNNNNNNNNNNNNNNNNNNNNNNNNNNNNNNNNNNNNNNNNNNNNNNNNNNNNNNNNNNNNNNNNNNNNNNNNNNNNNNNNNNNNNNNNNNNNNNNNNNNNNNNNNNNNNNNNNNNNNNNNNNNNNNNNNNNNNGGAGGUCGGUCGGACAUUGUCCAGCAGCUGCCGGAGUGUGGCCGGAGUCCUUGUGGACGCCCACAUUGGUGAAGAGUUGAGUGAGCAACUGUUUCUAAACGUGGAACGGCGAGCCACUUGCCAUGCUAGAGAGUUACUCGACGAGCUCCAAUUCUACCAUGUUGCUGCUUCCCUUUCUCUUCUUUAGUUUAAUAAUAACAUAAUUAACAUUCAAAUGAUUUCAUCCUUUCAAAGAAAUUAUGCGCAUGUAGAUUUUUGUAUUAAAAGGGUAUUUAGGUCUUUUAUCUAAAUUAUUUUAAAUGUUAUUUACUUUUAUAAACAAGUCCCGUCACCCCAUGAUGAUCGGCCGGCGAAUUUCCCAGCAACUUUUUGGCGAUUCUCCUGUGAAAAUUCAUAACUUGUUAUAAAAUAAAUAAAUAAUUAUAAUACAUAGUAGUUAAUUAUUUAAUUUAAACAACUAGAUAUAUAUGAAANNNNNNNNNNNNNNNNNNNNNNNNNNNNNNNNNNNNNNNNNNNNNNNNNNNNNNNNNNNNNNNNNNNNNNNNNNNNNNNNNNNNNNNNNNNNNNNNNNNNNNNNNNNNNNNNNNNNNNNNNNNNNNNNNNNNNNNNNNNNNNNNNNNNNNNNNNNNNNNNNNNNNNNNNNNNNNNNNNNNNNNNNNNNNUAAAAAUUGUAAUUAUAUAUCUUAAAAUGUGAAAAUAAAAAAUAUGUUGAUAAUAAAAAUCUUAAAAUUAAUUUAAAACAAUUAAUCUAACCAUAUAAUUAAUUACAUAUAAAAAAUAGUUGUAUAAAAAAUUAAUAGACAACUUAAAUAAUCUAUUAAUUAUCAACUGAAUACAUAAUUUAAUCAAAACUAUGAUAUUAGUAAAGAUGAUAAUUGUUCAUCCUACAACUGAAACAACUUAUUAGUUAGCAACUGAAUGCAUAAGGUAAUCAAACAAUUAUAUUAGUAGAGAUGGUUAUUAUUCAUCAUUUUUUGUUUAGGGACCAAGAUUCGAAUCCCACAAUUAACAUUUUUAAAACAAAAUUUGUUGGGUCGUCCAAAAUGAAAAACCCAAACGAGACCUUGCUGUUCAAAUGGGACGGCCCAAACAAAGCUCGGCCGUCCAAAGUGGACUGUCAAAAUCGGUCCGAGCCGUCCACUUUGGACGGUUGGGCUCGUUUAUAGGCCGUCCACUUUGAACUGGCCGGGACUUGUUCGGGCCUUCCAAUUUGGACUGAUGUGGUGAUGUCGGGAGCGGCCGGUGGUGGUGCAAGAGGUCGGUUGAUGCGGUGGUAGCCGGUGGCGGUUGUGGUCGGUAGCGGAACAAAGGUAGGUAAAGUUAUGUUUUCAAAAUUUGAAAUUAAAAAAUAUUCGUGUAAUUACACAUAUAAAAUUUAAACUAUAAGACGAUGUUUAGCUUAUUAGUAUCUAUUAAAAAAAACAACCACUACAGGAAACAGAAAAAUAGAAGUUGGUGAACAAGUCCAACAAAGCUAGUUCUACUCCAAACAUUUUGAUAGCGUUGGAGAUACAGUGAGAGAUUCAUAAAGAAAAGAACAGUUGGAGAUUCCCUAACAAUUGAUUCAACAAACAACAUCUUAAAAUUCACAGCUUGUCCAUGGAUGAUGGAAGACGUUGAAUGGAAAAUUACCAGGAAUGCUACUCAGAAGAAAAUUUAUUCUGGAAAGGCACCAACAACAACUCAAUUCUUAAACAAACUGCUUUUACAAGUUAUUAUUAUUUCGCACGUCUCAUAAUAAUAAUAUAGCUGUAGGCUCAAUCAUCGUCUGGAAAGGAAAAAUUGGGGGAGGAGAGAACAUAACUCCCUCCACCAGAACGUAACUAAUAAUUUCAAGUUACACACUGAUAAGAAGUCUACUACACACAGCACAGAAACCCCCCAACUGUAAUUUUGAUUCUACUCUGCUUCGUUUAGGAUUGGGACAAUCAGUGGGUUCAGCUGUGCAAGAUAUACAAUAGCCCACCUGCAAGGAUACACAAAUUUAAUGCAUAAACAUAGCAGCCAAAUUGGUUCCAUCCGAAAUUAGCAGACUGUUAGUUCAUUGACACAAGAAUCACUAUUAGUCAAAUGCCUACUAGCUUUAGCACUGAAUACCGCAUCAGACUAGUUAGUUUCACUAAUCAGCGAUACAUUGAUGAGCCAUAACACUCUAUACGCUGGAAACCAAACCCAGAGAAGAGCAAUAUGAUUAUCCUAUCACAGAUUACAUGGAAAGACCAGUAAGUAGACCACAAGCAACAAGCAAGUUACUGAAUUCAGGUACACCGUAAGCUCCAAUGGUUAAUUUACAUAUUUUUUCAUGGAGCUGUAUAGGAUGAAUAAUUCUGUUGGUAACAAGUAACAGGGUUACAGAUACCAUACCUCAGAUCAGUAUCACAGGUUUACCCCGGAACAUAAACGAAUUAAGUGAGUAACGCUAACCCAAUAGAAAUUGCAGUAUAGAUAAUGUUUCUGCCAUAGGGGUCCAUUCUAUAAUAUGUAAGCAUGUUAUGCAACCAUCUUCACCAAAUCCAAGCACCAAAACUGCUCACUGAAAAGGGGAAAUAUGGUAGAAUCCAAAACAAAAGAAGAAUCGAACUUACAUCAUCCAGCAGCUAACUGUUGCUGUUACAACCAAUGUCAAAUGCAACCUAACAUCAUAAGACCAAGGUUAGACUAACAUACGAAGAAUAUGUAAGAGAAUCUGCUAAAAUACAUACACAACUUAGGUGGGGUGUUACUUGAUAAAUAAAUAUAGCAAUUAAUCUUAACAGCAUAAGAUUUCUAGUAAUCGUAGAUACAGGUGCAUAGAAAUCUAUCUAAGCUCACGGAAAGACAAGGACCUAUCAUGAUAUAGACGACGACACUCAAACAAAAUAGAUCCAAAUCCCUCAUUACCAACAGACAAACACAGUUUCCAUUACGCACAAUCUCUCUGAAAAAAGAAAAUGAUUCAGAAGAGAGAUGAAGCAUACAAAUUGGUGGAGGGUCCUCUGUUACAGCAGAUUCGUGCGCAGAGCGAGGCGAUUAUUCCGACCACUACAAAGAUCAGCGUCGUCACCAAAAACCCCAUCUCGUUGUGCUUGUGAAUUCGAUCGCGAUUUCUGAAACCACCAAGGUGCGAUUUGAGGAAGUCAAAUGCAUAAUUCACAAUUGUUAGGGAAAUAAAAUGGCCGGAACAACUGGGAAGAGAAGGCCAAUCAAACGAACUCGAGGACGAAAUCCUUUACCUGAGAAUUGGGAGAAGCUCUGCUGGUUGAUCUGUGGUGGAGCUUUGGUUCUCGCAGUAGCAAGAUCUAAAUUUGCUCUUCUUCUUCUUCUGACGAUGGUUCACUGAUUGACAAAGUUGGGCCUACGUAGACACAUUACUUGAGGCCCAUUGCUUUCAUUUAUUUAUCUCCAGUAAUACUUCCAAAUGGUCACUUAGCUUUGAUCUGAUAACCAUAUUGCCUCAAAAACUUUAACGAUCACAAAUUAAUUUCUCCAUGGCAAUAAUUAACAUAGUCCUUGUCCUUAUAGGAUAGCUCAGUUGGCAGAGUUUUGUGAUUGAUAAUUUAGAGGUUUUGGGUUUGAAUUAAGUCAUACCCCAUAAUGCACACCCAUGCAUUCUCUCUUCUUAAGUGAAUCUAUCGACCAUUGUGCCUACUCGGAUUAUCCCGCACGGGCUCGUCCCCAUCGACAUGGCCCAUUACUGACCAUUGGUUCUCCAUGCCCUUACAGGUGGUGGGACGAACAUACCGAAAACUCUUUAACCUCUAUAUCUUGGAGCUACAUAAAAUGCCAAAUUGUAUAACUCAGUUUAGCAGAAAUAAGGAUAUAAAUGCCAGAGGAGUAGGAGUGAAGAGGCAGUCAUCCAUUCAAUUAGAGUGGCAAUGGAAGUUAUUAGAUUAGAGUGAACAUACAACAUCAGACAUUGGCUCAUUGUAAGAAUUGGAAAACAUGAAAUAAAUUCAUAAAAGUUAACAGAAAAAAAAGCCUAUGGUGGAUCAUCAAAAGAAGCUGCAAUUCGUUCCUUCUUUUGCUUCCCCCCUUUUCAUCUUCUCUUUUCGGUAUUUGUUGUUUUGCCAAAGUGGGAAGGGUCGUCUCUUUGAGCAGCACCACUAACCAGAAUUGUUGUCUCAGAAUCUGAACUGUGGAUCAACGUCCAUUGCCCAUGCAAACUUUGCUAGAAGUGAUUUGUUGAAUAUCUGCAUUAACCACCACCAGCAUUUCUCAUCAUACAACCAAACCAACCCCAUCAAAACACAGCUAGCAACGGUUGUUACCUUCUCAAUAGGAACGUCGUGCCUCUUGCACCAUGCAACUGUGAUCCUAGGAUCCAGAUAGUUUAUCUUCGAUGUCCCCAGUGCUACUGUUUUCAGAUCCUCCUUCGUCUUCAUGUCCAUUUCGUACUUGUCGAUCUUUUGCUUCGCUGAUGCUAUUUUUUUCUCUAUCCUGUUACGUUAUACAAUGGGUUCUUUCGUCAACUCAACAUCAUUGAAACAAAAAAAACUCAGCAGAAGAAGAAGAAGAUAGAUCAACGAUGAGGUGCCGCGAUAAUUACGCUUCAGGAUUCAAGUUCCUCUUUUGCUUUCCAUCUGCACCCUUCAAUGGUGGCUUCCCCUUUUUAGCCCUCUCCAAAUCAAUUUUUAGCUCUUUCACUUCUUCCUACAGGUCCAGAAAUAAGAGACAAUAUCAAUGCAUGUGUGACACAUCAAUGAGUAGUUAAAAAACUAGAAAAAAUAAUUUUAGGGUUUAUGUCAAACAACCAGGUAUCUGCUUAUUAUCAUUUAAGGAGCAGCCAUCAGGUUCAAAAUGGAUCACAGCACCAGCAUACAUUACCUUAGCUGCAUCGAUCCUCUCAGUCAACCUCAUCAUUUGAGAAUCAUGACUUUUGGAAACAGUACGCUGAUGAUUACAGAUGAUUGCAACCUGCACAAAGAGAGAAAGGCUACAUAAAGACUCUCGGAUAACCCAACAGUAUUUACAGAAUAUACCAUUUCUUUACCUGCUUGUUUGCCUUUUGAUACACGACAACUUUUUCUGCAACAUCACCAUCUUCUGUUUCUUCAUAUAACUGUCGAUAGAUCAUGAAAGCCCCAAAACGGAUUAAGUUCAGGAUUGAAUCUAAUCAUUCGUGGUAGUCGUAAGGUCUAGUCCAUGUGAAAUCAUAUGUUAAGACAUGGACGACAAGAAUCACUGAGCUUCCAUUAUUAAUGUCCAAAAUAAUUAACAAAUGCUGUAAAAAAGCGGCUUCUGCACCAUCGAAAUGAGAACACAAGGUAAAAAGAUAUGCGAAUAAGGUAAAUAUCUUAACUUGCGACUUACUUGCUCAUCCAAUGUGAUUGAAGCAUUGUAGGUACGAAAAACCUUUGCUGUAAGCCCAGGCAUUAGUUCUUUCAAGUGGGCGUUCAGUUUAGACGUAUCCAGUUGGUCAAAAAGGAGAUCACCAUCUUUUUUGCCUGCGUGCAAGGAAAUAUCAAACUCAAUACAAACACAUGACAUUCUAACUAAUUAAUUAAAACAGGACGCCAUAUUCUUACCAGUUUGGAAUUGUCCAAUUGCUUUGAACACAGGAAGCUCGACCUCAACUGUGUUCUCAUAACGAAUUGAAUCUUUACCGAGAAAGUCAAACUGCACAAGAAGAAGCAACAAACACAAGUCUCAAUCGUUACUAGCUAAAAACGGGCAUUAGAAAUUGUCCCCACAUGCUUUAGCACAAGAAAUAAAUAAAAAUAGCAUGCAUGGUUUCUAGGGUUGGUUAACCUCACCUAUCAGAACAGAGAUGAUGAUGUGAACAAAGCUUCUAGUAGUAGUUGAAAGGAGAAUGAAAUAAUAGAAUUCAAGAAACAAAUUAAUGAUUCAGCAACUCAACACUACAACAUAAUGGUGUGUUCACUCUUAUGCACCUUUAGCAUAUUGGGAGGGACGCACUCCACAUUUGAUACUUUUAAGGUACAGCAACCAACCGUAUCAGCUUCAUCAUCAUCCUGCAGAAGGUCAGUAUUUGGUUACACAAUCAUCUAAAAACAAGUUUAAUAGAGAUCCAUGUGAAGACUAAUGAGGAGAAAGACAGGUCUAGAUGUUGUGGUUUGAGAACACCUAUUUUCAACAUAUAUAUAGCAGAUAGUCCAUGGUAAAAAAAACAGACAUGAUAUAUAGCAGAUGCGUAAGCGUAACAUUUAGAAACAUAAGCGCGUCAUAUGAGGGAACAAGAUAAAAGGAAGACAAAAACUCCAGCCGCACAUAUUCUACCAAAAGUAUCAAUAAAUAUAAGAGUAAUCAACGGAGAAACAAAUUGAGUAUUUUGCAGUCUGAGCACAAUUUAAAUAUUAAAAUUGAUCACUAGAGUUAUUUGCAUUCCAUAAAUGAAACCUGGUUUGAAAUUACACGAACGGAGAGCAAAAGGAAAGGGGAAACUAUAUGAGAAUGUCUACCAAGGAAGAAACCAUAUGUACCUUCUCAUUACCCGCCCUAAGAGCUAGUUUAUCGAUAAGAUACGUAGCAACUGCUAUUUGCUGCUUUGUGACAUCUUUACUGCUGAAAUCCCUUGUGUAAGCGGUCCUUAUACUGCGUAUGUAGUCCUGCAGCAACAUAUAGUUAGACUCGUUGCUUUUCAAAAAUUUACAUGGAAAGCAGCAGAAAAAUAUGAGAAAACAAUGGUCUUGACCUUCAGCUUUCGUGCUUUUUCAUAUUUCUCUUUAUCACUUAGCCCUUUUAAUGAACUGCUAGCUGCCAAGAACACAUACUUGAAUUCUCUGGGGUUGAUAGGAUCAUUCCAGAAAGCCAGCCAUGUAACAGUAUUAUCAUGCUUUAUUUCAUUCCAGCUGCCAGAUCAAAUUUGAGAAAGAAUCAACAAAAUGUCCCUGUAAUUCACCUAAUGCUUUUUAAAAUUGGCAACACCACAUGCUUAAAACUGACAGCGCCCACACCCAUCAUUACAUGAAACCCAACUUGAAAAGGAUUCUGGAAAUCUAACCUUUCACCCUCAAUUGGACAUUCUGGAAUAGGAGCGUCUUUACCAAUGUUUAUGGUGAUAUCCUUAGGACGAAUACGCCUCUUCAGCUUUCCCAUCUGACAAGCACCAAUAAGAUGGAUUCAGAGUAAAGAUACAGUUAGAACAAGGUUUACUUCACCAAUCUAAUUGCAAUCUACAGUUAUCAGCAAAGAACCUUUGGAUGCUCUCCACGGCCUCGAAACAAACCUGGAGGUUCAACUCUGAAGUUCCCGACCUGAGAUAUAAUAAUCAUCAGAAUCUUAAAAUCCAGGAAGGGAACGGAAAACUGCAAAGUAGGAACCAGAAACUAUGUUCCCCCGAAACAACAGCAGACAAACGCUACCUUUUCUUUAACACCGUCCACUAUAGCCCACAUAUAUUUCUCUUCCUGUUUCAGUUUUUCUUCUUUGAUUGCUUUCUUCUCCUACACGAGAAUCAGAAAACUCCAUCAUUGGUGGCUUACACAAAGUGAACUAUUAACAAUUUUACAGUGAAGCAGGCAUCUGAUGGUAAAGAUUAGAACGAUAACAGCUGCUAUGACGUUGUUUAUUGAACUUACAGUAUGAAAUACAUUUGUUUAUGUAUUAUCAUCUGUUAUUCCCUAAUUAGGGUUACUGUACGAUUCUAUAUUGGGAGAUCCAUAUGAUAUUCAAAUUUUUUACAACCAGCAAAACUUACUUCUGUACUCAUUUGUUUUUUCUUCUCCUUCUCUUGCUGAUGCCAGUCAUAUAUUGGUGUAAAAUCACAGUCAUCCAACUUCUGAAUGACAUGGUUCUUCCCCAGUAUCUUACGCCAAUCAUUCCAGAAGUUCUCGAGGAACUUCGGUUUUUGCAUGUAGUCAGUAUCCUUCAUCACAGCAAACAUGGUAGCAACCUGAAAAUUUGAAAGUAAGAAGUGAAACUAACAGCGCUCAAACUAGUUAAGAUAGCAAAUCAAAAUUCCUGAAGAAUACUGAUACAGAAAUUUUGGGUUUCAAAAUACCCUUUAGCAACAAGAUGAUGAAAAAAUGGGAGGCACCUCUUCUUGUUCAGGAGUUAAAUCAACUUGUUUCCCUUUGUAUCGCAUCUUAACCCCAUGAGACUGAUAUGGAGGAGGAAAUAUUACACCGUUAUGAACCAAGGUGGUCAAUUUUUUCUGGCCAUCAUUGGAGCUCGGCUGGAAUUUUGUUGACGUGGAAUACUUGGAAGUUUUGACUUGUGUCUUGCUCUUAAUAUUGGUCUUUUUGAAUGAAGAAGAGACCACUUUUGUUGCUUUUGAUGAAGAUAACUGUUUUCUUUCUGCAAUCGCUUGCUUCUUGAUCCUCUGGGAGAUCGGAACAUCAUCAUCAUCAUCCACCCUCUCCGCUGCUUUAGAUGCUCGUGGUUCGACUUUCGUGGUGGUGGAUGGAGCAGACAGCUUUGGCUUUUUAGCAGAGGAUUGAUCCAUUCUAUUGCUCACCUCCGUAGGUCUCUUGUUCGGCAGAGGAUGGACCUUCUUCUCAUUUGACGUUGAACCAUUUUUCUGAGAUCUUGAUGGUAAGAGUUUUUUUUCACUAGAUUGAUUAGGUUUUGUUGAAAUUCUUGAAGCCAAAGGUAAAUCGUCAUCAUCAUCAGAAUCUUCCUUUUUCACCUGAGAGGGAGCACCGACUCCUUUCUGAGCAUUGUUGCCAGAUCCCUUCAUUCUGUAACUCAAGGGCUUAUCAUCCUCGGAAUCCUCAUCAUCAAUCUGAGACGUGUUCUCAGAUUUUACAGACUUAGUCUCCGUCCUAACAGCAGAAGAAGCAUUGUGCUUAAGUCCCUGCUUGCUCGCCAAAGAAAUUGACGACUUUGGAUUUGUUACAGGAGAUUGCAAUGGAGAUGCUUUCAUAGAUGAAGUCGAUGCUCUAGGGCUCCCUAUGGGAGAUUUAACUGGCGGCGACUUAGAAGAUGUAACCGGGGCUUUAUCCCUCUGCCCAUUCGAGCUUUGGCCAUUAACAUUUUGAGACGAAGACGGCAGUCUCUUAACUUCAGCCUUCACUUGGCUUUGCGUAGCCGCGGAGCUACCAUUCCUUCUAAAAACCAAUGGCUUAUCAUCAUCCUCAGAAUCCAUAUCAUCCAUGAUGCGCCUGGCAGGUGUUUGAACAGCCAUUACCAUCCAGUUUCCAGUUUGAAGCUGUAUCUCACGGAUUCUACAUCAAUGUCUGAGAGAAGUGCAUAAACUCAGAAAUCCUUUCGGAUUGCUGCAACAUAGUGAGCACAACUAGUAAUUCAUCAAACUGGUUGAAACACAGGUAAUAUAAGAAAUGGAUCCAUCAGUUAAAUAGCUUCAACUGAACCCAAAAUCACAAUCAAUUACAAGUGAAAAAACAAUCUGACACUUAACUACACCGAAAAUAUAGUUCAGCUAAGCUAGGCUGCACAGGGGAAACCGCAAGACCGGAUUAGGGUUUCAACUAGCAAACAGACCAAAGCCAGCGGCAUUCCAAAUUCAGGGCACCUUACAUACAUAUAAGCGAAGGAGAAACUUCCGAGUGUGCUCUAUUGAUAAAAUUUACACAUAAAAUCAGUGGGAAGAAAGCUUGGAGAUGAAUUUCAAAGCUCGAGAGACAAUAUCAUCUGUAAUGAAUUUCGAGGGAUGCGGGAAGAGGAAGUAGAUAAUGGAAGACGCCAAAUAGGGAUUGACAUCGGAGAAAUUAGGACAAAGUGAAAGUAAGAAGUUGAUGAAGGAGAAGAAGACGAGUUUUGGUUGGUGAUGGGGGGAAAGAAGAAAAGUAAACGGACCUCUGACGCCGGCGGAGGCUGUAGGAGGCGGCGGCUAUGGCGGUCAGGAGCAGAUCGAAUUUUAUUUUUUUCGCCGUUCUUUCUUAACGCUUGUUCUUUUUGUUUAAAAUUUAAUUUUCUUUCUUGAUUUGGAUAUCCUUGCUGCCGUGCAUUCGUUUAUAACUUUAAUGGUCAUUAAACUUUGUAUUUUACACCCACCGAUCACCAAACUUUAAACAAUCACUGCACUAAGACCAUCUCUAAUGCUAAAUCUCAAAAGGUUAUAUUUAAUAGGAUUGGCUUCUUGGUUUCGGUUAAUCGGUUGACCAACCAUAUCGGUUAAAAAUCUGUUUAACUGAAAUUAAGUAUGUCGAUAAAACGGUCGAUAUAUUUGGGAAAAUCGGAUAAUCGGUUAACCAAAAAGUGAAAUAUCCUCAAAUCCUAAUUGAAAUUACCUCAAACUAAAUGGAAACUACCCAAUUUUUGUAUUAGUUUAUUGGUUAAAUUUGUCAGUCGAUCAAUGAUCGAUUAUUGAACCUCCAACUAAAUUCGGUCGGUUAAGGUCGUUAACCGAUUAGUCAUGAAUUUUCAAUUCUAAUCGACGAUUAAUAAUUAAAUUAAUCGAUUCCCAAGCCUAAUAUCUAACCCAGAGUCACCUCCGUGGAGCAUGCCGUCGGACAUGGUGAACACCUAUGGUGUAGAUGAGCGAGCUCAAACCGCAGCUUCCUUCAUAUAGAGGUGAGUGGGAAUCGUGGCCUUGAUGGAUUCCCAGAGAGGUGUGAGAGAGGGGGACUGCAAAAAGGGAAGAUGUAGGUGGAUGGCAGCUGAGUGCAUCAGCGGUCUGAUUCUCCUCGCUAGGCUUGUAAAUUAUUUCGGAAUCAAAUCCCAAUAGUUUAGAGACCCAUUGUUACUGCUCUGAAGUCCAAUAGGUAUUUGAGACUUAUCUAGUCGGUUCGAAUUUGAAAUUGACGGCCCAAGAUAUAUGGACAACAUGUUUGGACAGCCGUGACAACGGCUAGGAUCUCCUUGGCAUAGAGCGAGAGGUCUUGCUUCGUCUUACCAAGGGCCUGACUUAUGUAGGCAAUUGACCGAUCUUAUUACGUCAAAAUGGCGCCUAUCCCAAUUUCUGAAAGCAUCGAUUUUGAUGACAAAGACGACAUCAAAGUUUGGCAUUGCUAGGGUCGGUGUACUUGUCAUUGUAGCCUUGAGUGUUUGUAAUGUUGCGUUCAUUAAUGCAGACCACUCCAACCGACCUUUGCGAAGCAAUCAGAGGUCGGGCGAUGCUUCCAUAGCCUUUGACAAACUUUCUAUAAGGAAUCCUCGCAAUUCAAUAAUCAUUGUUGGUGGAGGCCAAUCAACCAUUGCUUAAAUCUUUGUUGGGAUCAACCUUUACACCUUGAGCCGAGAUAAUGUGGCCAGGAUACUCCAAUUCUUUCAUCCCGAACGCAUACUUAGAGAACUUGAUGAAGAAUUAAUGCAGAGUUAGGACCACAAGUCGAUUCAAUUCAUAGAAACACACACAUUUCCCGAGGCAAGAAAUGAGUUUAUCUGGGCUCAGCCUGCUAACACAUUGAUCGCUGAGUUAGGGCAAAACCAUUAUUACUCAAGCGUCACUUCUCUCAUUCGCCCCUCGUAACCCUACAAGCUCUCGCAAUCGUUCAUCCUUCGUCAGAGGGCAAAGGUGAAGCUGCAAGUGCUGCUAGGUGAAGCUGAAAUAAAUCAAAAAGUAUUUUCUUCCAUUUUAAGGAUUUGACUGCAGCUAAACCCUAGGAAUUUUGAACCUUCUUUUCUCUGUUCGUUAACGCCCAGUGUUGUGUGUACAGGAUGAGAGGCAAUAGAAGAUAUUAGAUUAGAUGGAACAGAAAAAAAGCCUAUGGUGGAUCAUCUUAAAAGAAGCUAGAUUUGUCCCUUCUUUCUCAUCUUCUCUUUGGUGUUUUUUGUUGUUUUGGCAAAGUGGGAGGGGUUGUCUCUUUGAGCAGCACCACUUCCCAGAAUUGCCUCAGAAUCUGAACUGUGGAUCAACGUCCAUUGCCCAUGCAAACUUUGCUAGAAGUGAUUUGUUGAAUAUCUGCAUAAACCAACCACCAUCAUUUUCAUCAUAUAACGAAAGCAAGACUAUCAAAACACAGCAAGCAAACUGGCGUUACCUUCUCAAUAGGAACUUCGUGCCUCUUGCACCAUGCAACUGUGAUCCUAGGAUCGAGAUAGUUUAUCUUGGAUGUCCCCAGUGCUACUGUUUUCAGAUCCUCCUUCGUCUUCAUGUCCAUUUCGUACUUCUCAAUCUUUUGCUUCGCUGAUGCUAUUUUUUUCUCUAUCCUGUUACGUUAUACGGUGGGUUCUUUCGGUAACUCAACAUCAUUGAAACAAAAAAAACUCAUAAGAAGAAGAAGAUAGAUCAAUGAUGAGGUGACGCGAUAAUUACGCUUCAGGAUUCAAGUUCCUCUUUUGCUUUCCAUCUGCACCCUUCAAUGGUGGCUUCCCCUUUUUAGCCCUCUCCAAAUCAAUUUUUAACUCUUUCACUUCUUCCUACAAGUCCAGAAAUAAGGGGCAAUAUCAAUGCAUGUGUGACACAUCAAUGAGUAGGUAUAAAACUCUCAAAAAUAAUUUUAGGGUUUAUGCCAAACAACCAGGCAUCUGCUUAUUAUCAUUUAAGGAGCAGCCAUCAGUUUCAAUUGGAUCAUAGCACCAACAUACAUUACCUUAGCAGUGUCAAUCCUCUCAGUCAACCUCGUCAUUUGAGAAUCGUGACUUUUUGAAACGGUACGCUGAUGAUUGCAGAUGAUUGCAACCUGCAGAAAGAGAGAGGCUACAUAAAGACUCUUGGAUAACUCAACAGUGUUACAGAAUAUACCAUUUUCUUUACCUGUUUGUUUGCCUUUUGAUACACGACAACUUUCUCUGCAACAUCACCAUCUUCUGUUUCUUCAUAUAACUGUCGAUAGAUCAUAAAAGGCCCAAAAGGGAUUAAGUUCAGGAUUGAAUCUAACCAUUCGUUGUAGUUGUAAGCUCUAGUCCAUGUGCAAUUAUAUAAUAAUACAUGUAGGACAAGAAUCACUGAGCUCCAUUAUCAUUAUCUAAAAUCAUUUAACUAAUGCUGUAAAAGAAGAGACUUCUGCACCAUCAAAAUGAGUACACAGGGUCAAAAGAUAUGCGAAUAAGGUAAAUAUCUUGACUUGCGACUUACUUGCUCAUCCAAUGUGAUUGAGGCAUUGUAGGUACGAAAAACCUUUGCUGUAAGCCCAGGCAUUAGUUCUUUCAAGUGGGCAUUCAGUUUAGACGUAUCCAGCUGGUCAAAAAGAAGAUCAGCAUCUUUUUUGCCUGCGUGCAAGGAAAUAUCAACCUCAAUACAAACACAUGACAAUCUAACUAAUUAAUUAAAACAGGACAGCCAUAUUCUUACCAGUUUGGAAUUGUCCAAUUGCUUUGAACACAGGAAGCUCGACCUCAACUGUGUUCUCAUAACGAAUUGAAUCUUUACCAAGAAAGUCAAACUGCACAACAAGAAGCAACAAACACAAGUCUCAGUCGUUACUUGCUAAAAACGGGCAUUAGAAAUUGUCACCACAUGCAUGGCUUUAUGGUUGGUUAACCUCACCUAUCAGAACAGAGAUGAUGUGAACAAAGCUUCUAGUAGUUGAAAGGAGAAUGAAAUAAUAGAAUUCAAGACACAAAUUAAUGAUUCAGCAACACAACAUUAAAAUAUAAUGGUGUGUUCACUCUUAUGCACCUUUAGCAUAUUGGGAGGGACGCACUCCACAUUUGAUACUUUUAAGGUACAGCAACCGACCGUAUCAGCUUCAUCAUCAUCCUGCAGAAGGUCAGAAUUUGGUUAUGGAAUCAUUUGAAACAAGCUUAAUGGAGAUCCAUGUCAAGACUAAUGAGGAAAAAGACAGGUCUAGAUCUUGUAGUUUGGGAACGCCUAUCUCGGCAUAUAGAGCAGAUGGAUAAACAUAACAUUUAGAGACAUAAAUGGGUCACAUGAGGGACCAAAGAUUAAAGGAAGGAAAAAACUCCAGCUGUUCAUAUUCUACCAAAAGUAUCAACGAAUAUAGAGUACUCAACCAGAGAAACAAAUCAAGUAAGUAUUUUGCAGCCUGAGCACAAUAAAUAUUAAAAUUGCUCACUGGAGUAUUUCGGAUUUCAGAAAUGAAGCCUGGAUUGAAUUUACAUGAACGGAGAGCAAUAGGAAAGGGGAAACUAUAUGAUAAUGUCUACUAACAUAUGUACCUUCUCAUUACCCGCCCUAAGAGCUAGUUUAUCAAUAAGAUACGUAGCAACUGCUAUUUGUCGUUUCGUGACAUCUUUACUAGUGAAAUCCCUUGUGUAAGCUGUCCUUAUACUGCGUAUGUAGUCCUGCAGUAACAUAUAGUUAGACUCGUUGCUUUUCAAAAACUUACCACUGAAAGCAGCUGAAGAAUAUGAGAAAACAAUGAUCUCGACCUUCAGCUUCCUUGCUUUUUCAUAUUUCUCUUUAUCACUUUGCCCUUUUAAUGAACUGCUAGCUGCCAAGAACACAUACUUGAAUUCUUUGGGGUUGAUAGGAUCAUUCCAGAAAGCCAACCAUGUAACAGUAUUAUCAUGCUUUAUUUCAUUCCAGCUGCCAGAUCAAAUUUGAGAAAGAAUCAACAAAAUGGCCCCAGAAUUCACCUAAUGCUUUUUAAAAUUGGCAACACCACAAACUUAAAAAUGACAGCGUGUACACCAGCAUUACAAGAAACCCAACUUGAAAAAGAUUCUGGAAAGCUAACCUUUCACCAUCAAUCGGACAUUCUGGAAUAGGAGCGUCUUUACCGAUGUUUAUGGUGAUAUCCUUAGGACGAAUACGCCUCUUCAGCUUUCCCAUCUGACAAGCACCAAUAAGAUGGUUUCGGAGUAAAGAUACAGCUACAACAAGGUUUACAUCAUCAAUCUCAAUGAAAUCUAUAGUUAUCAGUUUAGAACCUUUGGAUGCUCUCCACGGCCACGAAACAAACCUGGAGGUUCAACUCUGAAGUUCCCAACCUGAGAUUCAUAAUUAUCAGAAUCUUAAAAUCCAGGAAGGGAAAAGUUCAAGAUAGGAACCAGAAACUAUGUUCACGCCAGAAACAAUAGUAGACAAACGCUACCUUUUCUUUAACACCAUCCACUAUAGCCCACAUAUAUUUCUCUUCCUGUUUCAGUUUUUCUUCUUUGAUUGCCUUCUUCUCCUACACGAGAAUCAGAGAACUCAAUCAUUGGUGGCUUACACAAAGUGAGCUAUUAACAAGUUAACAAAGAAGCAGGCAUCUGAUGGUAACGAAAUAGAACGAUAACAGUUGCUAUAGUGUACAAGUAGAAUCAGCUCAAGGUCCUACUAUAUUGGUAAAGGUCUAAGAAGACAAGAUUCUUGGGCAAUAAAAACUCUUGUCUUAUACGGUCCAAGGUAAGUUAUGAGUUUCUUCAACUGAAGCAAUUAGCAAACCUCUAACCACUCCUUGAUUAUGUGGGCAAAUCAGCCAUGGACUAAAAAGGCGGCUGAAAACAAAAAAUGUCCCAAAGCGACUUUCAUACCGUAAUCUCCUAAUUAGAGCGGCUAAAUAAUUCAAUAUCAGUCAUCCAGCUUCUGUAUGACAUGGUUCUUCCCCAGUAUCUUACGCCAAUCAUUCCAGAAGUUCUCGAGGAACUUCGGUUUUUGCAUGUAGUCAGUAUCCUUCAUCACAGCAAACAUGGUAGCAACCUGAAAAUUUGAAAGUAAGAAGUGAAACUAACAGCGCUCAAACUAGUUAAGAUAGCAAAUCAAAACUCCUGAAGAAUACUGAUACAGAAAUUUUGGGUUUCAAAAUACCCUUUAGCAACAAGAUGAUGAAAAAAUGGGAGGCACCUCUUCUUGUUCAGGAGUUAAAUCAACUUGUUUCCCUUUGUAUCGCAUCUUAACCCCAUGAGACUGAUAUGGAGGAGGAAAUAUUACACCGUUAUGAACCAAGGUGGUCCAUUUUUUCUGGCCAUCAUUGGAGCUCGGCUGGAAUUUUGUUGACGUGGAAUACUUGGAAGUUUUGACUUGUGUCUUGCUCUUAAUAUUGGUCUUUUUGAAUGAAGAAGAGACCACUUUUGUUGCUUUUGAUGAAGAUAACUGUUUUCUUUCUGCAAUCGCUUGCUUCUUGAUCCUCUGGGAGAUCGGAACAUCAUCAUCAUCAUCCACCCUCUCCGCUGCUUUAGAUGCUCGUGGUUCGACUUUCGUGGUGGUGGAUGGAGCAGACAGCUUUGGCUUUUUAGCAGAGGAUUGAUCCAUUCUAUUGCUCACCUCCGUAGGUCUCUUGUUCGGCAGAGGAUGGACCUUCUUCUCAUUUGACGUUGAACCAUUUUUCUGAGAUCUUGAUGGUAAGAGUUUUUUUUCACUAGAUUGAUUAGGUUUUGUUGAAAUUCUUGAAGCCAAAGGUAAAUCGUCAUCAUCAUCAGAAUCUUCCUUUUUCACCUGAGAGGGAGCACCGACUCCUUUCUGAGCAUUGUUGCCAGAUCCCUUCAUUCUGUAACUCAAGGGCUUAUCAUCCUCGGAAUCCUCAUCAUCAAUCUGAGACGUGUUCUCA